AUUUUGUUGUAUUUUAUUUAUUUUUGUAUACCUUUCACGCUAACUAAUGCAGCUAAUUUAGCCUACUCGACAACCUGACUCAGAGAGGACUACUAUUUAUGUUAGCUAGGUGGCCAAGGCUAUCCGACACUGCAACUCAAAUCGAGAAAGGGCAGUGUCGUGGUGGAGCAUAAGGUUCUACUGCGUGUAGAGAAUGGGAAGAACCUAACUAAUGACAUCACUGAGUCAGAAGAACAGAUCAAGGACAUUCUCGAUGAGGCCAAAAACUGCACAACAGGUCAAGAAGGCUGCCUUGGAGUGACCAUCAUUGGAGAUAUCAAAGUCAAAAAUGCUACGUUUGAUAAAGAAUCUUUAUGCAACCAGGCCGGACUUGACAAGAACUUGAAGGUAUACUACCAUGCAGCUGAAAUAGAUGGGCGACUCGUCUGUGUCUCUCCCUGUGCCUCUGGCCACAACAGAACAAAACACUGUAACACCGGCACCUUUAGUAUGUCACGGGCCGGACCAGUCUGCAGUUAAGACUAUUACAUCUUAAGACUUCUUAUAAAAUAACAUGACAUAGCAUAACAUAACACAUGUAACAGAGUUAAGAUCAUACUGGUAAGCUCACUCCAAAGUGUGAAGGAUGGUUUUGUUCUCUUUUAACAUAAAUAUAUGCCUUAUAGAAAAAGGACAUGUUAAUCACAAAACAU